GACGAACGCUGGCGGCGUGCUUAACACAUGCAAGUCGAACGGAAAGGCCCUGCUUUUGUGGGGUGCUCGAGUGGCGAACGGGUGAGUAACACGUGAGUAACCUGCCCUUGACUUUGGGAUAACUUCAGGAAACUGGGGCUAAUACCGGAUAGGAGCUCCUGCUGCAUGGUGGGGGUUGGAAAGUUUCGGCGGUUGGGGAUGGACUCGCGGCUUAUCAGCUUGUUAGUGGGGUAGUGGCUUACCAAGGCUUUGACGGGUAGCCGGCCUGAGAGGGUGACCGGCCACAUUGGGACUGAGAUACGGCCCAGACGCCUACGGGAGGCAGCAGUGGGGAAUAUUGCACAAUGGGCGGAAGCCUGAUGCAGCAACGCCGCGUGCGGGAUGACGGCCUUCGGGUUGUAAACCGCUUUCGCCUGUGACGAAGCGUGAGUGACGGUAAUGGGUAAAGAAGCACCGGCUAACUACGUG
rnacentral:rRNA from 1 species